GCUCUUCCUGUGCACCUGCCGGGUGACGUGGAACAUGUGACCAGCUGGUUGGUCUGGAAAAUGUGACAGUUAUUUGCAGCCACCCACUAACCAGGGAUUUUUCAAUAUUCAACUCCUAAGGGGGCGAAAAGGGCAAAAACUACUGGAUAAAUCUGGACUGCAUUUUCACUAUUGUAUAGCUUAGUGACCUAGAAAGUAACUGUGAAAUGUGACAUCAGGAAGAGGAGCAAUAGAAUAAAACACAGAUGCUUGAUACUCGGCGCACUGAAAGUUUGUGUUCUGGUCAUGCUAAUGCGGAACAUGACUCCACCGAAAUUAUGCAAUGGAACCCGACUUAAAGUGACUGCUCUGCAGAGGAACCUAAUUGAGGCAAAGAUUGUAACAGGAUCUGGUACAGAAUCAGUUGCAUUACAGAACCUGGUGUUUAAGCAUAGUGUAUAAGGUUGUCAUGGUGAUGGGGAGCACAUGGAUGACGUCAUCACUGACGGACACGCCGCUGGGCGGGUUUGCUGUCCCGUUUCCGGAUCAACGGCGUUUCACACCUGGUGAGGUCUCUAUAUAUGUAAGUAUGUUUUAUGUUUGAUUUGUAAGCCUGAGGACAAUGUGCAAUACAUUGAAACGUUGCUGAUCAAAUUGCCGUGUAUUAUUUGUUCUGACAAGCCGUCUGGAGUGCUAUGCCAUUGAGGACCAGUGUAUUACUUUUAUAGCACGGGCACCCGGCGCAAUACUGGAACAGUUUAAGG